rnacentral:rRNA from 1 species
UACGAAGGGGGCUAGCGUUGCUCGGAAUCACUGGGCGUAAAGGGUGCGUAGGCGGGUCUUUAAGUCAGGGGUGAAAUCCUGGAGCUCAACUCCAGAACUGCCUUUGAUACUGAGAUCUUGAGUUCGGGAGAGGUGAGUGGAACUGCGAGUGUAGAGGUGAAAUUCGUAGAUAUUCGCAAGAACACCAGUGGCGAAGGCGGGCUCACUGGCCCGAUACUGACGCUGAGGCACGAAAGCGUGGGGAGCAACAGG